rnacentral:rRNA from 1 species
CCUACGGGUGGCAGCAGUGGGGAAUAUUGCACAAUGGGGGAAACCCUGAUGCAGCGACGCCGCGUGAGUGAAGAAGUCCUUCGUUAUGUAAAGCUCUAUCAGCAGGGAACAAAAUGACGGUCCCUGAGUAAGACGCCCCGUCUAACUACGUGCCAGCGGCCUCGGUAAUACGUAGGGGGCACGCGUUAUCCGGAUUUACUGGGUGUAAAGGGCGGGUAGACGGGAGUGGAAGUCUGGAGUGAAAGGCGGGGGCUCAACCGCCGGACUGCUCUGGAAACUGUACGGCUGGAGGGCAGGAGAGGUAAGUGGAAUUCCUGGUGUAGCGGUGAAAUGCGUAGAUAUUAGGAGGAACACCGGUGGCGAAGGCGGCUUACGGGACUGUAACUGACGUUGAGGCUCGAAAGCGUGGGGAGCAAACAGGAUUAGAUACCCGUGUAGUC